AGGGAAUCUUCCACAAUGGACGAAAGUCUGAUGGAGCAACGCCGCGUGAGUGAUGAAGGUUUUCGGAUCGUAAAACUCUGUUGUAAGGGAAGAACCAGUACGUCAGGCAAUGGACGUACCUUGACGGUACCUUAUUAGAAAGCCACGGCUAACUACGUGCCAGCAGCCGCGGUAAUACGUAGGUGGCAAGCGUUGUCCGGAAUUAUUGGGGCGUAAAGCGCGCGCAGGUGGUUUCUUAAGUCUGAUGUGAAAGCCCACGGCUUAACCGUGGGGGCAUUUGAAAAUGGGGGACUUGAGUGCAGAAGGGGGAAGUGGGAUUCCCAGUGUAGCGGGGGAAAGCGGAGAGAAUUGGGGGAAAACCAGGGGGGAAGGGGGCUUUUUGGGCCGGAAAUGGCGGUGAGGCGGGAAAGCAUGGGGAGCAAACA
rnacentral:rRNA from 1 species